AAACUUACUUGGCACCGGGACUAAGGUGAUCGCGAAUGCCUUGACCGCCGGGUUGGGGCCCACCUUUGCACUUCAGAGUGUUGAAGCCUGCGACAAUCCUUGAUCUGGCUCGCUCGGACGCAUAGAUUUUACUAGUAGAGAGAUCCNNN
rnacentral:snRNA from 15 species